rnacentral:rRNA from 1 species
GAUGAACGCUGGCGGCGUGCCUAAUACAUGCAAGUCGAGCGAACGGACGAGAAGCUUGCUUCUCUGAUGUUAGCGGCGGACGGGUGAGUAACACGUGGAUAACCUACCUAUAAGACUGGGAUAACUUCGGGAAACCGGAGCUAAUACCGGAUAAUAUUUUGAACCGCAUGGUUCAAAAGUAAAAGACGGUCUUGCUGUCACUUAUAGAUGGAUCCGCGCUGCAUUAGCUAGUUGGUAAGGUAACGGCUUACCAAGGCAACGAUGCAUAGCCGACCUGAGAGGGUGAUCGGCCACACUGGAACUGAGACACGGUCCAGACUCCUACGGGAGGCAGCAGUAGGGAAUCUUCCGCAAUGGGCGAAAGCCUGACGGAGCAACGCCGCGUGAGUGAUGAAGGUCUUCGGAUCGUAAAACUCUGUUAUUAGGGAAGAACAUAUGUGUAAGUAACUGUGCACAUCUUGACGGUACCUAAGCAGAAAGCCACGGCUAACUACGU